rnacentral:rRNA from 1 species
UACGAACCGUACGAACGUUAUUCGGAAUUACUGGGCUUAAAGGGUUUGUAGGCGGCCUUGUAAGUCAGGUGUGAAAUCCCUCGGCUCAACCGAGGAAUGGCGCUUGAUACUGCAAGGCUUGAGGGAGACAGGGGUAAGCGGAACUGAUGGUGGAGCGGUGAAAUGCGUUGAUAUCAUCAGGAACACCGGUGGCGAAAGCGGCUUACUGGGUCUCUUCUGACGCUGAGGAACGAAAGCUAGGGUAGCGAACGGG